rnacentral:tRNA from 1 species
GCCCGGGUGGCGGAAUGGCAGACGCGGCGGACUCAAAAUCCGUUGCCUUCACGGGCGUGCGGGUUCAAGUCCCGCCCCGGGCA